rnacentral:rRNA from 1 species
UUGAAUAAUUUACUUAAAAAAGUAAUAGUCUUGGUUUUAUAUUUUAUUUAAAAUAAUUAUGAGUAGAUUGGGACACGUGGAAUCCUAAUUGAAGAUAGGGGGACCAUCCUCUAAGGCUAAAUACUCAUAGUUAACCGAUAGUGAACAAGUACCGUGAGGGAACGAUGAAAUAGAACCUUUAAAAAGGAGUGAAAUAGAACCUGAAAUUAUAUACAUAAAAGCAAUAGGAGCUGAAAAGUGACUAUGUACCUUUUGUAUAAUGGGUCAGCGAGUUAUUAUAUUUAGCAAGCUUAACAUAAUGUGGUAGGCGUAGAGAAAUCUAGUCUGAAAGGGCGAUAGUUAAAUAUUAUAGACCCGAAACCAAGCGAUCUAUCCAUGAACAGGUUGAAUGUAAAAUAAAAUUUACUGGAGGACCGAACCGGUAUCUGUUGCAAAAGAUUCGGAUGAUUUGUGGAUAGGGGUGAAAGGCUAAUCAAGCUUGGAGAUAGCUGGUUCUCCUCGAAAGCUAUUUAGGUAGCGCCUUGUAAAUGAUUAUUAUUGGUAAAGCACUGUAUUGAUUAAGUAAUAUCUGAAUCAUAACAAACUAUGAAUAGUAAUAAUUUUAUUACAGGAGACACACAUAGGGUGAUAACGUCAUAUGUGGAAAGGGAAACAACCCAGAUCAUAAAAUAAGGUCCCUAAAUUCUAUUUAAGUGGAAAAUGUUUUUAAAAAUCUUGGACAAUCAAAAGGUGGGCUUAGAAGCAGCCAUCCUUUAAAGAAAGCGUAAUAGCUCAUUGAUAUAGAUGUUUAAUACAAAAAAUUUAACGGGGCUAAAAUAGAUACCGAAAUUAUGAACAUUAUUUUUGUGGUAGAGGAGCGUUGUAAAAGUGUAGAAGAAUUGUUUUUAAAUAAUUUGGAAUUUUUACAAGUGCGAAUGCUGACAUAAGUAACAAUAAGAAAUGUGAGAAUCAUUUCCGCCGAAAUACUAAGGUUUUCUAUUCAACGAUGAUCGAAAUAGAGUUAGUCGUAACCUAAGAUGAGGUUGAAAAACGUAGUUGAUGGAAAAAAGAUUAAUAUUUCUUUACCAUUAAUAUAUGUGAUGGAGUUUUGUAAUUAGUUUUAUAAUCCUAAAAUAGGAAGUUUAGGUUUAAUAUUUAAAAAAAUUGCAAUCAAGUAAAUCUAAUUUUGCAUAAUUUAAUAAUAAAAAUAAAAUUAUAAAAAUUAUAUUGCCGAGAAAAACUUCUAACAUUAAUAUAUUAAUGUACGUACUUUAAACCGACACAGGUGGUAUGGUAUAGAAUACCGAGGCGUGUGAGAUAAUCUAAGUGAAGGAACUAGGCAAAAUAGUAUCGUAACUUCUGGAGAAGAUACGCUAGAAUAUUUAAAAAAAUUUUUUUAAAGAACUAGUUUAAGAGGUAAGGUGGCUGCAACUGUUUAUUAAAAACACAGCACUCUGCUAACGUGUAAACGGAUGUAUAGGGUGUGACGCCUGCCCGGUGCUGGCAAGUUAAUUGAGAAUGUUAAUUUAAAAGAUAAAGCAUUUUAUAAAAGCCCCAGUAAACGGCGGCCGUAACUAUAACGGUCCUAAGGUAGCGAAAUUCCUUGUCGGGUAAGUUCCGACCUGCACGAAUGGCGUAAUGAUGGCCACGCUGUCUCCAUUUAGAACUCAGUGAAAUUGAAAUUGCUGUGAAGAUGCAGUGUAUCUGCGGCUAGACGGAAAGACCCCGUGAACCUUUACUAUAUCUUCGUAUUGAAUAUUAUUUUUUUUUGUGUAGGAUAGUUGGUAGAUUUUGAAAUAUAGUUGCCAGAUUAUAUCUAGUCGUCCUUGAAAUACCAAUCUAAAAAAAAUAAUAAUCUUAUAUAUUUUAUAAUCUAAAAAAUAAACAUUGCGUAGGUGGUAGUUUGACUGGGGCGGUCUCCUCCUAAAAAGUAACGGAGGAGUGCAAAGGUACUCUCAAUACGUUUGGUAAGCGUAUGUUGAGUGUAAGAACAUAAGAGUGCUUAACUGUAAGAUAGACAUAUCAAACAGAUACGAAAGUAGGCUCUAGUGAUCCGAUAUUUUCUGAAUGGAAAGGAUAUCGCUCAACGAAUAAAAGGUACUCCGGGGAUAACAGGCUAAUAUUGCCCAAGAGCUCAUAUCGACGGCAAUGUUUGGCACCUCGAUGUCGGCUCAUCACAUCCUGGGGCUGGAGUUGGUCCCAAGGGUAUGGCUGUUCGCCAUUUAAAGUGGUACGCGAGCUGGGUUUAGAACGUCGUGAGACAGUUCGGUCCCUAUCUACCGUGGAUGAAAGGGGUUUUGAGAGACUCUGUCUUUAGUACGAGAGGACCAAGAUGGAUAAACCACUGGUGAUCCGGUUGUAAUACCAAUUGCAUAGUCGGUUAACUAAGUUUAAAUUUUGAUAACUACUGAAAGCAUAUAAGU